AGGAGAUUGUGGGAGCGAAAGGAACAGUGGUUAAUGCAGCAAAGCAACUUGGCUGAAUCGCUCUGCUGGAAUUCAAACACUAAGCAAAUUCAACCUCAGCUGCAGGGCACAUAUAUCCAGAACCACCGCUACAAAUUGAUAGAACUGUAAACCUAGGAGUGCUGUGGGUUAACGAGGAGCCAUUAACAGAAGUUACAACUUAACUGUUUCACAGGAAUGACCUGCAUAUCAGCAUUAUUUUUUUCAUUCUGCAAUGUUUAGUUUAGUUUAAAGAUACAGCAUGGAAACAGUCCAUUCGGCCCACCGAGUCCACGUCGACUAUUGAUCACUCCGUACACUAGUUCUAUGUUAUCCUGCUUUCGCAUCUUAGAUUUUACACUUUAUAGAAGCCAAUUAACCUACAUACCGGCACACCUUUGGAAUGCGGGAGGAGCCCGGAGCACCUGAAAAAACCCCAAGUAAUCACAGGGAGAACGUACAACCUCUGCACAGACAGCGUCACAGUAGUCAGGAUCGAACCCGGAUCUACCGCUGCGCCACUGUGCCGUACCUAUGUUAUUCAGAAUGUACAGUACGUUAUUCCAGUCCUUAACACAGAAUUAAUUUUGAAGCGUUAUGCAGCUGAAUUUGGCAGCUAAUUUGUACAUGGCAAGUUUCCAAGAAGGGUCCCGGUCCAAAAUGUUAUCUGUCCAUUUUCCUCCACAGAUGCUGCCUGACCCGUUGAGUUCCUCCAGCAGUUUGCUUUGCAUUAAAGUUUCCAGCAUUUGCAUUUCCACAAAUUAAUUUGUUUCAAUGUUUUUGAGAACAAAUAUUGAGCAGGAGUAUUGCUGUUUAUCGUUGAUCCAUAUGGUGUGAUCUUUUAAAUGUACCUGAACUGAAGGGCUCAGCUAUAGUGUCUCAUGCAGUUCAAAGCAUUGCUAUCACUCUAAUAUUUGUAGGCAUUCCUCAGUUGGUUGCUAUUUCAGCGCUUUAGUGCAAACCGCAGUUCUGAGUGAUAUUCCAGGCAUCCCACUGCACAGUUCGAGGGUGGGCAGAGGAAUGUGUCUGUAGACUGCUGACAUGAAUACACACUACUCGCCAAACCAACAUGCAGGAGACAGUGAAAUUGCUGAUGCAAGUGAAUGCUGACCUACAAGCACUUUAUUAACAACAGAACUUAAAGGUACGUCCUUUUAUUCUGAGGCUAUGGUCUCUGGUCCUAGACUCUCCCACUAAUGGAAACAUCUUCUCCACAUCCACUCUAUCCAGGCCUUUCACUAUUCGAACAAAAUAUUGAUGGCCAUCAUCAAGAUCCAUGGUUGUUUUCAUCAUCGCCUGCUGUGAAUAUUAUUCC